rnacentral:lncRNA from 1 species
AGAACAAAAUCGUUACUAUUUAAAUAACAUACCAACUGCCGCAACUGCCGCAACUGCCGCAACUGCUGCAACAGCUGCUUAUCCUAGUUUAAGGUGUUCCGGUUAUAAUGAAUGUUAUACUACUAAUAAAUUAUUAAAUGAUUCGGAUAAAUAUAAUCGUAAGGUUAAAAGUAAUAAUAAUGUAAUAAUGCGUGUUACUAAAAAUGACCAUGAUGUAUUUGAUAAUGACAUGAAACAAUCAAACACUGUAUUUAAUUAUAAUUUAUGUACAGAAGUUGCUUCGGGUAAGUACGACCAUACCGAUUCAAGAAAUGUCAUACACUAUGCAAAUAAUAAACCUAAUGUUGAGUAUGCAUAUACAGGGUUUGAAAUUCGAUCAUGUAAAGAAGAUUUGAAACGGUUGGAGUAUAGUUUGAAUGAUAAAUAUGGUAGUUUCAAACUUUUUGAGAAAUGGCUUAAAGAUUGUUCUAAAUGGCAAUGGAUAGAUUUGAAGUUACAAAAUGAGUUUUUAACUAGUAAUGUCGAGUUAGAUAAAUUAAAAGAAGAGAAAAAGAUUUACUUGGAAAAAUGUAUAAAUAAUAAAAUAAAAGAGUUAUGGUGUGCUUGUAUGAAAGGAUUAAUAAAUUUAAAGCUGUGUGAUUUAGAAAAAAAAGUAGUAACAAAGUUUGCUCCUAAUAAAAUUAUAAAUAAUAAUAAUAUUAAUGAUGUGAUUUUAGAUUAUGAAAGAAAUGCAAUGUGUUAUCAUGACUUGUAUGCAAAAAUGACACAAAUAACAGGAAAUAAUAAAAAACUAGGGUUAAUACAAAAAACGAACCGUACUGAUUUUGAAGAUCAUAAUAAUGAUGAACAUACGAAUGAAUAUAACUUAGGAGAACAUGAGGGAAGUGAAAAAAAUCCAGCUCGAAACGUCAAGAAUGAGAAAUAUCAUUAUCAUAAAAAAAAAGGUUACGUUCAAUCGUUAAUUCAUAGUUUUAAUAAGAAAUCGCAAAAAAAUACUGAUAAAAAUAAUUCAUAUUUAAAAGAUGGUUAUGGUACUACUAACCAAACUAAUGAGCAUAAUACUGUUUAUGAUGUUAUAAAAAAUAAUGAUAAUAAUAAUAAUAAAAGUUUGAAUAAUGUUAAUUUGAAAACACGUAACGUUUCGGUAAAUAAAGAAGAGAAUGUACAAGAGGGUGUACACGAGAAAAAAAACACACAAAACUCAAAAGAUGACUAUACAGUAGUAAUUGAUAAUAAAAAAAAAAAUAAAAUAAAUGAUUAUGAUAAGAUAAAAAUUAACAAAGUGGUACCAGAAACUAGUAAAAAUGAUAUAUACGUAAACAUUAGCGAGUAUAUUACUAAUAAUAGGUUAGGUGCGCAUAGUCAAGCUUAUACCAAAAAUAAAAGCUUGCACAUGGUAAAUACAUCAGAAUAUACGAAUUUAAAAAAAAACAAAAAAGACGAGCAGAACGAAAAAGAGAAAAACAAAAAAAACUCAUUUUUUGAUAGCUUCAUCUCAUCGAAUAGCGAAAUGAAUAAAAGUUUUAAUAACACCAAUUCUAAUUAUAGUAUGUCGCUUGUACAGAGUAAAAUGGAUGGUUCGCAAAAUAAUGAAAGCGAUUAUGGCAGCAGUAUACACAGAAGUAGUAAACCCCCAUCUGUCGAUCAACUGAAGUCCGUAGAGAAAGGCAGCGAGGGAUAUAACAAAAAGGGAAAAGGGAAAAAAAGUAAUAUGAGUGCUUUUAAAAAAAUUUUUAAUCUAAAUAGGAAAAAAAAGAAUAAAGAUGAUUUAGAUAAAAGAGGUAAUAAAAUAAAAAAAAAAAAAACAGAAUCAGAUACAGAAAGAUAUAAUAAUCGUAACAUCAAUCAUAAAAAUAAUCAUAAUAAUAAUAAUAAUAAAAAAAAAAAAAAAAGUGAAACAAGUAUUAAUACAAAUUUCAGCAUAAGCAUGACUCAAAAUGAUAAUUUGAAAAAUAGCCAAAGUGAAAUAUAUAGUAAUAAUAAAAAUAACAUGAUUUCAAAUAAUCAAUCAUAUUUAUCAGAAGAAUAUAAAUAUGACAACGAAAUCGAAUUUGAAAUAUUACAAAAAGAAGUGGGAGAUCAUUUACAUCUUAAAGAUGAACAAAAAAAAAUGGAAACUAUAGACGAAUUAAAUUAUGAUGAAAAUUAUGGAGAAAGUGUUAAUUCACGUUUUACGAAAAACACACAUGUAAAGGGGUAUAGUAAGUUAUAUGAAUUAGGAGAUGAAAGCGAUGGAAGUAGCGAAGAUGAUAGUAAAAAAAAAAUGAAAGGACAUCAUAAUUGUAAAGAUGGUAGUAUUGGCAACCAUGUUGUGCAUGCACACGAAAGUAAUAAGUAUGGAGGAGAUCAUGUCAAAUACACUACUGAACAUGCGGAAUAUGCUGGGCGUACUACACGUGUGAAUAACGAAAAGCGUAAUAACCAUGAAAAUAACAAAAAAAAACAAAACAAUACACAAACUAGAGACGAUUUAAUAAUUACAAAACAAUUUAAAAAAAAAAAUGAUUGGUUUGAAAAAAAGGCAAAUAAAUCAUGUUUUCAUUUAAAAUCUAUUGAUCACAUAGAAGUUAAUAAAAAUAAUAAUAUUCCAUUAAAAGAAUCAUUAAAUGCUUCCAAUGUUUUAAUAAAAAAUAACAGUACUAUUACACGUGUUGGUAAUUAUAGUAAAAACAUAACUGAUGAAAAAAAGCAUAACUACAAUAAGAGAGAUGAAAAAAACGUUGUAAAUAAUAUGUUGAUAGAUGAUAUUGUGUUAAAUAAUGAACUUGCUAAUCAUAAUGGUACUAGCAGUGGUAUUGGUAGUGGUAGUGGUAGUGGUAGUGGUAGUGAUAGUGGUAGUGGUAGUGGUAGUAGUAGUAGUAGUAACAGCGGCAGCAGUCGUAGUAACAGUAAUAACAGAAUCAGUAACGACGGAAGUAGCAGUAAUGGUGAUAAAAAAUGCAAAGAAAAAGAUAAAAAAUUAAAAAAUUCUUAUUUGUAUGAUUAUUCAAAUAAAGAUGAUAAUAUAUACGAAAAAUUUUCUAAGAUUGGAUCGAUUAAAGAAAAAAAAAAAAAAAAUAAAAUUAAUAAAUUUUUUAAAAAUUUAGGAAAAUUGAGAUUUAAAAGUCCGAAAAAAAGCAAAAACAGUAAAAAAAACAAAUUAACAGAUGUUGAUGAUAAUACAUUAGAUGCUGCUAAUUGUGAUGACUAUAAUCAUUGCAUAGGUAAAGGCAAGAAAUCGAAAAGUAAUCAUAGUAUUAGUGAUAUUAAUUUGGAAUCGGACGUUUUGAAGAUGCCUUCAUGGGAUAGUGAAUUAAGUGAGAGGAGUGCUGUUAGUAGUAAAAGUGGUAUUAUUAAUAAAAACGGUAUUAUUAGUAGUAAAAGCGGUAUUAUUAGUAGUAAAGGCGGUAUUAUUAGUAGUAAAAGCGAUA